UGUUUGCUCCCACUGUCCUGUGUCUGGACAGUUUUACUUACCGUUCCUGUAUUUGUGUGUGACAAUUUGUACAGUACUGCUUUCACUCACCUCCUACCUCUCUGGGAACCUCUGCUGUGAGAUCUAUCGCGUAUAAAGACACACUGCACUUGCCAUGAAGAUGUGGAAACACGAGGCGUGGGGUUGAUGACAAACCAGCAGCAUAGCAGCAGCAACUCUGUUGACUACACCAGUGUGCAGCUGUAUCAAAUGUCAGCAAGGACACCCUGGUGCCCAGCAUUUCAGCUACAUGAUCCUGAUGUGUUGCGCUUCCAGCAGCAAAUGAAGAAUGUAAUUUCCAACGCCUGCCUACUUCCUCUCCUCCCCAACAAAAGGGACUAGAGAAGACUGUGUGAACAGUAUUGGCAGCUGGAUGCCAUAGGACAGUUUGUAGAUAUGGAGUGCAACAGACACAGUGCUUCCUGAUUAAAAUACGUAAGUUUUGGAAAUCCAAAAUGCAAAUCCAAUAAAAGGAAGUUGUUGUUGCUUUUUUUCCAAGCCAGUGUCAGGCAGUUCAGUAUAAGGGAUGUUUUUACUAGGAAGUUCUGCCACACA